UUGUGGCCAUAUAACGUUGAAACACCGGUUCGAGUACGCUCACCAAAGUUAAUUAACGUCGAGCCUGGUCAGUACUUAGAUGGCUGACCGCUUGGGAAUAACAGGUGCUGUAA